rnacentral:rRNA from 1 species
UACGAAGGGGGCUAGCGUUGUUCGGAAUUACUGGGCGUAAAGGGCGCGUAGGCGGCUAUAUAUGUCUGAUGUGAAAGACCUGGGCUUAACCUGGGAAGUGCAUUGGAAACGGUAUAGCUAGAGGACGAGAGAGGAUUGUGGAAUUGUGCGUGUAGAGGUGGAAUUCGUAGAUAUGCACAAGAACACCGAAGGCGAAGGCAGCAAUCUGGCUCGUAACUGACGCUGAGGCGCGAAAGCGUGGGGAGCAAACAGG